rnacentral:rRNA from 1 species
CUUGGUCAUUUAGAGGAAGUAAAAGUCGUAACAAGGUUUCCGUAGGUGAACCUGCGGAAGGAUCAUUUUUGAGGUUGGUGGGGUGCGAUUGAGCAUUCCACGAAUACCCUGGGCAAGGCGGUAAGCCAUGCUCCUGGUCGGUGGUGAGGUGAGAAUCUCGCUACUGAAAAUUGACGCUUGAUUGUCUGACAGUCUAUCUCGUAACCGAAUAACUUUUAACAAUGGAUCUCUUGGCUCUCGCAACGAUGAAGAACGCGGUGAAAUGCGAAAAGUAAUGCGAUUUGCAUGAAUCUGUGAGUCAUUAAAUUUUUGAACGCACCUUGCGCCUCAAGUGAUUGUGGCAUACCUGUUUGAGUGAAUAUAAUGUUAUGAGAUCUUUUAUGGGUUUCGAGUUGUCAGUUGAGUCUACUCUCUGAUUAAAAACACGAUCUUGUUGAGCAGCGUGCUAUGGGAGUUGCUUCCUUGUCGCUGCCAAAACUACACCAUUUUCCUCAAAUCAGGCAAGACUACCCGCUGAACUUAAGCAUAUCAAUAAGCGGAGGA